rnacentral:tRNA from 1 species
UCCCGCUGGACGAGGCCGUCAGCCGGGUCGAGCCCGGCAAGGCCCUGCAGGGCAACCUCGACCCCGCGAUCCUGUUCGCGCCGUGGGAG